AUGGGUUUGAUCAGUGGGUUUCGGGUUGAAUGUCUCUCGCCAUCGCCAUCGCUUGCCUUUGGAGGUGUCGAUCUUGUUUAUCGUUCUCGCCAUCGCCACCGGAGGCGUCGAUGGAAACCGUUGAUCUUGUUUCUCGUUCUCACCAUCGCCACCGGAGGCGUCGAUCUUGUUGCUCAAGGCGAGGCGUCGAUCUUGAUAAGUGGGUUUUGUGGAUUGUGUGGAUUCUGGUGGGUUGUGUGGGUUUCUGCUAGUGGGUUUUGUGGGUUGUGCGGGUUUUGUUUUCUGGGUUUCUACUGGUGGGUUUUGUGGGUUGUGUGGAUUGUGUGGAUUUUGUUUUUCUGAUUUUCUGCUGGUGGGUUGUGUGAAUUCUAGUGUGAUACCGGUGUGGAUUGUGGGUGUGGGUCGAUGGCUGUGUGGCAAAGAAAUUAAUAUUUUAUUUGAAUAAAUGUGUAUAAUAGACAAACUGAUGUGGGUGUCUUAUAAAAAUAAGUGUGUAAAAUAGAAAAAGUAGGUUUUGAACAUGUAAAAUGGAAAAAUUUAUAAACGAGAUGAUGUGAAUGCUUUAACUGAUCAUUUACUGCAAAAGCAUGCCUCUCACUCUUCCCCAAAAUUGUUGUGUCUGUCCAUUUUUGAAAUCUCUAACACUUUUUUUUUCUUUCAUAACGGACUUUUUACUUAAUAGGAAAGUUCUUAGUUUACAUUGUACUUGCUAUGUAAGAUUCAUAUUAUAGACUAAACAAAUGUGUACUAUAUUACACAAUUUAUUUAGUCUACAAUGUAAGAUCUACAUUACUAGUAAAAUAUAAACAUAUAAUUAUCAAGGUGGUCGAUACCGUACCGGUACCGGCCGUACCGGCCGGUACAUACUGUACCGGCUGCAUACCGGUAUCGAAACAUCAACGUUUCGUACCGGUUUAAAUACCGGCCGUACCGGCCAUGUACCGGGCGUACCGGCCAAUUUCGGGCAAUACCAGCCGGUACCGGGCGUACAGGUCGGUACAGAAAACAGUUUUUUUUUUUUUUUUUUUUAAGUUUUGUAAUUUUUAAAUUUUUUUUAGGACAGAAUGGUAACUUAUUUGUAUUAACUUAUUAGUAUUAUUUGUUUUCUUAGUAUGCAAUGAUAACUUUUAAGUUUUCUAUUUUUUAUAUUGUGUUUUUUUCUUUUUCUUUUAAUUGAUACUAAAGUAUAAAAUCAUGAAUAAUUAGUUCUGAAUUGAGGAAAUGUUUUAUGGUAAGCUUUUAUAUUUAUUACAAUAUAUAUACACACACAUACAUAUAUAUCUAUAUAUAUAUUUAUUUAUAAAUAUAAAAAAUAGCGGUAAACCCAAAACGGUACAUCGGUAUUGACCGGUAUCUGAAAUAUAUCGUACCGUUGGGCAAACUGGUACAGUCUCCGGUACGGUAUUGACUCCCUUGAUAAUUAUUCAUUUUAAUAAUAAAUUCAACCUUUUGACAACAGGUAAUUUGAGGCUUGGAAAUAGAACAUAUAUAAGCACAACAAUGGCAGCAAAAUAGUUAGAAUAAGUGCAUCCUUCUCCAAAGAAGGUCAAUUAAUUAUUUUAUUAAUUGUUAAAUCAUAAUUCUGGUGAAUUUCUUUUCAAACCGGGGGGGGGGAGGAGGAUUUCAAGCAAGGGGUUUGUGCCGAACUAGUAGAAGGCUGCAUUUGAAUAUUUGAAUUUAGAUUUGGAUUUUAAAGUGAUGGAUUUGAAAUGUCUUAAUUUCAAAUCCAUAAAUAUUUAAGUAUGUUAUAUAAAUUUCUAAAAUUCUAUAGGUUUAAAAGUUAUUUAAAAUUCUUGAUGGAUUUGUCAAAUCCAAAUUCUUGACUCUUUAUAAACUAUCCAAAGAAGGUAUUUAUAAAAUUAUUUAUAUAUUUAGAGUCUAUAAAAAUUAUUUAUAUAUUCAGAGUCUAUAAAAAUUAUUUAUAAUACAAAUCAUAAAAUUAUAAUCCUUACUCCAAAAAAGAAGAAGAUAGAAGGAAUAAAAUGUAUCCAAUGCCUAAGAAGAAAAUUUGUUGAUUUGAAUGUUAUCACCAUAUUGAAAACCAUUUUGAAAACAAAGUACCAACAAAUAUUUUGCUAAACGCACCCCAUCCUGUGCAAUGAACGAGUUAUUUACCUAAUUUUAGUAAUAAGUUUGCUCAAAAUAUAAGCCUAGUCUUGUAACCUAACGUCAAGUUUUGUUGUGACAUAUAGCAAAGCGUCUUCUUAGAAACGAUAUUAUAGAAACAACAAAAUGAAGUAGUCUACGUUAAGUGUUAUCAAUUUACCAAUGCACACAAAACAUUGCAAUCGGUAAUUGGUUCAGGCAACCACUCAUAUAAUUUAUUAUUUUCCUUUUUCACAUUUACUAUAAUUCGAGAUCACUCAUGAUUCAGUCAUCAGUUAUAUGUGCCACCACUAAACUCAAUAAAUAUAAUUGAAUUUUAGGGCCAAACAUAUAUAUGAUUAUGACAUUUUUCUUCACUCUCUCUCUUUAAGAAAAAUGAUUGGAUGAGAUGGUCUUAUGAAACGAAGUAUUAAUUUUGAGUUUGGCACAAAGAAAAUGUACGUAAUCUAGAAUGUGACAAUUUCAAAUGCAUCCUAAGGAGUUCUUUGUUUAUAGUUUGGGUGGUUUGUAAUUUCUUUUAAUUCAUAUAAGAAUUGAAAAAGGCUAUAAAAAGAUUGUUUUUAGUAUUUUCAUCACUUUUCAUGAAUUACAUUUUUAUUUUUCUUUAGAGUUCUACACUUCAAUAGGCUUAGUCAAGAAUCUUAUAACUUAAUUGGUGUUUAGCUCUCAUAUGCUCAUGACGUCUAGGUUUUAAAUCUCGCAUCCUCCAUUUCAAGCUUCAGCACACAAUAGGAAAAUGUUAUCUGAUAAUUAGUCUUUAAUAAGUUACAUAAUAUUUUUUAAUAGACUUCUCUCAACUCUCUAGUUCUUUUAAUACACAGGUUUUUUAUUCAGUUCAAUCACCAGUCAUCCAAUAAAUAGUGUGAUGCUCACUUAAAAAUUAGGGGUGAGUGUGAUUCAACCGAAAGUCUAUAUGAGUAACACUGAAACUUUUCUCUCUUUUCUCAUCACAAAGCUUUGGCAGUUACGACUGUACUUUUAUAUACUGCUUCGAAGUCCUAAACACCUCAUCCUUCUGUGCCUUGUUUUUCUGUCCAUGUCUAGAACCAUGGCCGACUUUCCUCCAAACCCUGAAGAUGGAGAGCUCUGGAUACCUUCUGAUGUUUUACAUGAAAUUGUUUCUACAGACAUUGAUGAUGCUACUUAUGAUCAUGUUGAACCUGUAGCAAUUCAGCCCAACUUGGAGGUCUUCCAUUUUUUUUUUUUUUUCUUUUUUCCUUCUUCUUUCUAAUUUAUUUGUUUUUCUGUCACAACAGUAAAUAUGAUCGAUAAUGGAAAAAACAUAAUAUAUUUUCUUCACCACUAUAAUUCUAUUCCUGAAAGUUAUUUUACCAUGUAACUUCCUUAAAUUUUUAUGUGGUAAUUUAAGGUAUGUUUGGCCAAAUUAACAAUACCACAGAUUUAGCAUUUUUUAAUUCUAUUUUUUCUUGAUUGUUUUUUCCUUAUAUGAUCAAGAGUUACCAUUGAUGUGAGUUGUGAAGCAACUUCCAUGUGAACUUAAUAUUUGUUGUACUUUUUUUUGCCUUUAUUUUUCUAGCUUUUUCAAUUUUCUUUUGUUUUCCUCUUUUUAUAUGAUACAUACUGGAUUUAUACAUGGAACUGAUCUCAUCUCUAUUUGCCCACAUAAAACAGCAACCUCAUGACAGUUUCCAUGGUACUAAGCCAGAUGGCAAUGGUGCAAUUGGUAAUGGAGUACCGGCUUCUGACGGUUACGCAUCUUGGGACGGUGCCUAUCCUCGAGUUUCUGGUCAUAUUCACCAAUAUGAUUCAUUCAAUCCAACUCAAAUCCAGGUGGAACACUUUUAAAAACUCAGUUCUAUAUUUCCUUCUUGAAUCCCUCUAUUUUUCUUUUUUUGUUUGGGGUUUAUUUUUUAGGAAAAAGUACUCACACUACCAUAUGUCUUACAUCAUUAGGGUUUUGGGAAAACAGGAGCUCCGGUUUUUCCUGGGAAACAAAACAACUCGUGGUCAGUGAAUGCUAGAGAGGAAGUGAAUGUCUUUGUUGCAAAAUCUGGAGGAACUGGUUUCUUUCUUCCCCGUUUCACUAACUCUUCUAAGGGACCUAAAGAUACAACAGGAGGUACUGGGGUUUUCCUUAAUAACCAAAUUUGGAUAACCAAAGGCAAAAAGAAAAAGAGUGAGUUACAAAUUCGAUUCAUCAUUACAUCAUGUCUCUUAUAUGUGUUGGAAGUUGAUAUGUUCUUAAAUCUCAAUUACAACUGCACGUCUUUCUGUUUCACUCUCUUUUUAUCCUGUAUUAAUCCACUUGUGAUACUUUUUUUUUUUUGAGGGAGAGUUUCAUCCUAUGGUGUCCGUUCCUGAUGGUAGCUCUUUAUCAUCAGACCAAGACACCAAUUAGUUUUUGGUGUAAACGGGGAUUGAAUCCCAGAUCUCUUAUACAACCAUCAGACACUUUACCAGUUGAGCUAACUGGAACCCACUCCACUUGUGAUACUUGGCUAUGUAGCCUUUGGAACUUAAAACGGCCUAAUCCAUAAUGCUCAUGUUUAGUAGACCGUUAUAGUCAGCCACAUAGGAUAAUUAUGAAAAAUUGUAUGAUAAAGGUUGUAGUUCUGGAGUGCCUUUGUUCAAUCAAAUGAUUUUCAUUCUAAAAUAGGUUUGCAUUAAUUUUUUGUGUCGCCUUUUUAGCCUUUUGUACUCAUGCAUUAAAUAGUUUUUUUAGUACUACGGAAAAAUUAUUAGGCAUUUCCUUUUUUUUUUUUUUUUUUGAGAAUAAAUUAUUAGGCAUUUCCAGAGUAUGAUAACAAGAUAUUUCCUUCUUAUAUAUUUAUGGUAGACCAUACUAUGAAUUUAAUUAACGAGAUAUCUUCACAAUCUUGUAGUAUCUCUUUGACUUGAUUUCAUUUAUUGAUGAUUUAAAUAAUUUAUGUCCUCUUUCUAGAGGAAGGAAGGUGAGAUCAUGCUAUGGAUCCUAAAUUAUAUAAGGAAAUGCUAACAAAUGUCCUUAGAGUAAUGAUUAACAAUCUAUUUAAAGAAAUUUUUUAUGGAGGAAAAAAAAAAAUUAAUGUUUUGACAGUUUUUUCCAUUUUUCAUAAAAGUUGUGUCAAAACUUUCCUAAAAUAAAUUGUUAACCAUUACCCUAAGAGUACCCAUUAACAUGACCCAAUUAUAUAUGCACUUAUAAAAGUACUCUAUUUAAUAAUAGAAGAAAAUAUGGUUUUUGAGAAAUUAUGGUAUUACCAAAAGCAUAUGGAUUUUGUGAUGGCAAUAAUUGCACUUUUAUAUGGGCAUAUCAUUAAUAUUACUUUUAUUUUCUUAUUUUUUGAAAAAAUUAAUAUCACUUUUAUUAUACACAAAUUAUAAUAUGUUAUGUAAGUUAGGUCAAUAAUUGUUUAAAAAAUUCAUGUUAUUGGAUUUAUUGUUAAAUUAAGUUGGUUCACCUAACCAUUAAUUACAACAAACCGCAUCAAUAACUGUGAAAAAAAAUUUAUUACUAGAUUUAUUUUAAGUUGUUUUGGUGUUUUCGAUAGAGAUGUCAUACUUAGCGUCAAACUCAGGCUUAAAUCUACUCAAGUCCAAACCAAGACCUAUUUAAUAACCUUUAAAAUGGUCAUUUUUGGAUUGUAUGAUUGAAUUGGACUCAACUUUUUUUAAGAGGUAAUUUCAAUCUAUAACGUCCACUUCGGAGAAUUAGAUCCAACUUUUCCACACUAUAUUUACAUUUAUCAAGAAAUAAAAGUGUACAAUGACAGAUUUUUUGUUGUACUACUAGAAUUUAUAUUUUUUUGGACAGGUAGUAUUUUUUUUAAGAAGAUUUUGCAUAGGUAGUUGUAUUACCAGAAUUUAUACUAAAAUAUAAAUUCCCUACUAACUAUUCAAACAUACAUUGGAAAAGGGAAAAAAAAAAAAAAACAUUGUUUUACAUUGUAGCAAAUUAAAUAGAGCCUUUAUUAGAAAUUUAACUAUUUCACUAUCAUUUGGCUUGUUAGAUAACACUCAAACCUUGUGAUUCGAUUAUAGAUCAAUCCACUUACCUGAUUGGUCUCCUUUAUACUAAAAUAUAAAUUCCCUACUAACUAUUCAAACAUACAUUGGAAAAGGGAAAAAAAAAAAAAAACAUUGUUUUACAUUGUAGCAAAUUAAAUAGAGCCUUUAUUAGAAAUUUAACUAUUUCACUAUCAUUUGGCUUGUUAGAUAACACUCAAACCUUGUGAUUCGAUUAUAGAUCAAUCCACUUACCUGAUUGGUCUCCUUUACAUCUCAUUUGAAACUGCAUUUUUAAAGUACAAUUAUUUUAAACAUAGUUUUAAAAAUUGGAACAGUCAAAGAACUAGAAUUUGGUCAAAUUUUUUUAUUUUUGACCGAUUUUUAUUGGUUUUACCCGACCAUUUAGAGUUUAAUUUUUAAAACCAUGCUAUUAAAUUAAAUUUUUUUCUUUCAAUGAACAGUUUUUUAAGUCAUUUUUUUUUUUUCAAAAAGUUGAAAAAAAUAAAUGUACCAAUCAGUACUAUCAGACAAAAGUCAAAAAGAGUCUUGAAAUUAUCAUGUACAUAACUAAAUGAUAAUUUAUUUUUUUUCUUUUACAUUGUUGCAAAAUACUUAGAUUUGACUUUUAAAUUUAUUUUAUAAUGUUUACAAAUAUAAAGUUGUACACAAGUUUUAUUUGAUAUUAUUAUUCUCCAUUUAGGCGGGAAGAAGGGGCAAGCAAAUCAAAAGAAACGCGACAAUGGAAAGGAAGCUAUGGAAAACCAGGAGGGUUCUCAACUUUCUGAUGAGCUAGGUUUGCCAAAGGAUUGGACAUACUAA
rnacentral:sRNA from 1 species